rnacentral:rRNA from 1 species
UAGAGUUUGAUCAUGGCUCAGAGUGUACGCUGGCGGUAGGCCUAACACAUGCAAGUCGAUCGAGAGUUUUGGACAUGGCUCAGAACGAACGCUGGCGGCAGGCCUAACACAUGCAAGUCGAGCGCACCUUCGGGUGAGCGGCGGACGGGUGAGUAUCGCGUGGGAACGUGCCCUUCUCUACGGAAUAGUCCUGGGAAACUGGGGGUAAUACCGUAUACGCCCUUUGGGGGAAAGAUUUAUCGGAGAAGGAUCGGCCCGCGUUGGAUUAGGUAGUUGGUGGGGUAAUGGCUCACCAAGGCGACGAUCCAUAGCUGGUUUGAGAGGAUGAUCAGCCACACUGGGACUGAGACACGGCCCAGACUCCUACGGGAGGCAGCAGUGGGGAAUCUUAGACAAUGG